rnacentral:misc_RNA from 1 species
UUUCCGUAGGUGAACCUGCGGAAGGAUCAUUAAAGAGAUCAUGCCCUCACGGGUAGACCUCCCACCCUUUGUUUACAAUACCUUUGUUGCUUUGGCGGGCCCGUUUGGCCCCGCGCUGAACAACCGGCCCCGGCUGGUCAGUGCCCGCCAGAGAACCGAAGACUCUGAAUUAAAUGUCGUCUGAGUACUAUGUAAUAGUUAAAACUUUCAACAACGGAUCUCUUGGUUCUG